rnacentral:rRNA from 1 species
GACGUAGGGCGCGAGCGUUGUCCGGAUUUAUUGGGCGUAAAGAGCUCGUAGGCGGCUUGUCGCGUCGAAUGCGAAAUCCUGCGGCUCAACUGCAGGCUUGCAUUCGAUACGGGCAGGCUCGAGUUCGGUAGGGGAGACUGGAAUUCCUGGUGUAGCGGUGAAAUGCGCAGAUAUCAGGAGGAACACCGGUGGCGAAGGCGGGUCUCUGGGCCGAUACUGACGCUGAGGAGCGAAAGCGUGGGGAGCGAACAGG